UGGGUGGACGUCGCAAAGAAUGUGUGUUAGCGCGCCUCAGCUCGUCCACUACGCAGCGGCAUGUAUGCGGGGAGUAACAUCGUCGACGCAGCACCGGCAACUUGGAGAGUGCUUCGCGACCGCGUCGUACCAUUCAAAAGUGGCGAGGCUGUGACCCAUAACAGUGCCUACAUAACGGAGGAGCCACCAGACCCCUUGGCUAUGCCUGCCGUAGUGCAACGUAUAAUCUGGAUGGUCGGGUCAGGUACACCUAGGAAAUGUUGUAUACAUUGGCAACGAUAACUGGGGCCUGCUCCAGUGCCAUCGCCGGGAUUCCCUGUUCUGCAAAAAACUGACAUAACUGAUGUGGGGAGCCCUGGCGCU